UUUUUUUUUUUUUUUUUUUUUUUUUCGGAUUGAGAGAUCGGGAGAGGGAGAUUGAGAGAUCGGGAGCGGGAGAUCAAAGAGGUCGAGGGAGAUCGAGGGAGAGGGAGAAGUUUCUGGUGGGUCGGCCGCCGCUGCAGAGGACGCCGACGCCGGCGAGUCACGGUUGAUGCCGGCGACGCCAGAGAGGGGUUUUUUCGGCGUUUUCCCGGAACCCAAACAGUGGGUUUCCGAUUUUUGGGCAAAUAGCUUCUCAGAUUUUUAACAGCAAGAAAACAUCCAGCAAAUGAGCUCCCUUCUUCUCUCAUCAAGCCAUUGCAGAUUGAAAGAGUUGGUGUACAAGUUCAUUGAGCCGCUGCUUAGAGACCUCUAUCUUCAUCGCACUUCUACCGACUUCGACUAUGUUCUUGGUUGUGCGUGGUUACGGAUUGGGCGAUUAGGCUUUCAUCUCUUGCUUAGCUGUGAUGAUUUGGAUCCUGCCAUGAAAUUCUAUUGGAAGUCUUGACAGUCAGUAGAAAAGAUAACAUCGCUUAAGCUUGAGAUGCAGGUACGACAAGAAUGCAACUAUCUAGCAGGAUGGUUUUCUACAAGAGAAGCUGAUGAUAGAAGAGCACAUGCAUUAGAAAAUCUUCAAGUAGAGCUUAGAACGGCACAAAGAAAGGGUCAGCGAUGCUAAAGCAACUUCAUGCUCAUAAGACACAGAAUCGACUGGAAAGGGGUCUGGUUGAAGGAGAGGAAAAUUUGUGAAACUUGUACUUGUUUGGCUUUGUGAUCCACCACACCUUGCACUGCAUUAGUUGGUAUUAGAGCCUACGUUUCUUUCCUGCUAUGACGCAAAGAGGCAACAUGUGAGGACCAACUGAUGGCAUGUUUGCAACGCAUGGAAGAACAGUUUGAUCUGUUUGAGAUAAUGGGCACACAAAUUGGAGCAUUAAUUGAGCAAUUUGCUAUCAAGGGUGAUCCUAAUAGACGUCGUUGUUAGCCAAAUUCGCAUUUCUUAGGAUUGGGGUGUAAUUUAUGUGGUAUCAGACCAAAUGUUAGUUAAAUUAUAUUUAUAUUCUCGAAAAGCCAGAGAGCAUAUCUACAUCA